rnacentral:lncRNA from 1 species
AAACAAAAAGGAAAACAAAGAAAAGGGGAAUAUGAGAACAUCCAAAAAGAAAGAAAAAAUAUUAAUAAUAAAAAUGAUAAAAUAAUCACUAAGUAAAGAAAAUAAUUAUUUAAACCUUUAAAACAAAAAAAUGGUCCCACAAAACACUCCUGAGGACUCCAACCCAGGACCCAAGGCACAUUAACACACUACCAACCACCAGACCAGC